GCCGCCGGCGACUGGGAAGGUGGGACGAAGGAGAAGGAGAAGGUGGGGCGGAGGAGGGGAGCUGCGAGCACGCCGCCGGCCGUGCGCCUCGAGGGACGAUUGGGUGGGAGGAGAAGGCGGCGGCGAUGGUUUCGAUCUGUGAUCUGCCACCGGCGCCGCAACAGGGACGGAUGAUAUGAUUUGAGGUCAGCCUAAUCCCUCGCCUCUUCUCGUGUCUCAUGAAGGACGACGACGACGCGGGCAACGGCGAACUCCUCGUGGUGGUGAAGGAGGAUGCCACAUUCCUCGAGGCAUCGAUGGGAUCCGUGAGGAACCAGUCGGCUUGACUCCUCCUGCCCAGGUACUUAUUGCCAAUAUCCCCCUCCCUCUUCCUAUCGACAUCGAUGUCCAUCGAUUUAACCCAAAUCCUCAUAUCUCACUGGGCGUAAGGGAAGAUUAACCCAACUCCUCUGAUCCAAUUGGCUAUGAGGGAAGAUUAAUGGCCAGUGAUGUCAUUGCCGUCCUCUGUGUCUCUUAGUCGGAGGGAGUAUUUAUGACGCGAAGAGGAAAUAUAAAAGGCGAAUUAGGGUGAUUGCUUUCAAGAGGAGGAUGCGCGACAACGCUCACAAGUUAGAAGAGAAGAGGCGCCAUAUCUUGGAGAAGACUAGGGAGAAUGUUGGCUGCCCAGUGCUUCCUCUAUCUCUUAUUCACCAUUUUCUUCGUGUCCGUGAACACUGGCUAUCUACUGGGAACAUCCAAAAUAUUAUAGUUCUACGUUGUGAGAGAGGGGGCUGGCCAUCAUUGGAAUUUCUGCUACCUUGUUUUCUUAUUUUCAAGAAAUUGCACAGUGCAGAACAUAAAACUCUGGACAUUGUUCAUGGUGAGGCCCCUAAAUGGUUCCUACAACGAUUUUAUACACUCAAUCCAAUGCCCUCUCAGCUCCGAUAUAUGCAGUAUGUAGCCAGAAGAAAUAUCUCUCCAGAGUGGCCCUCCUAUGGAGCAGGCACUCUCUUUGGAUUGUCUGAUCCUUCGAGCUAUUCCAAAUUUCGAUUCUGAUAAUGGAUGUAGGUCAUUGAUCCGAAUUUUUGGUCGAAAUCUUCUUGGCAAGAAUGCUAGCAUGACCGACAUGAUUUUUUCAAUGCCUAAGAAGUCCUUGCGCCACUAUCGACAGGAGGACUAUGACGUGAUAAAAAAUGAUAUAUAGUGUCCAGUCCAGGGAGAUGUUGUUCUGGAGUGUGUGCAUCUUGAUCUUGAUCCAGAAAAUGAAGAUAUGAUGUUCCGGAUAAUGUUUAAUACUGCUUUUAUUCGUUCAAAUGUACUGAUGCUGAAUAGUGAUGAUGUUGAUAUACUCUGGGGUUCAAAAGAUCGGCACCCAAGGAAUUUUAGAGCAGAGGUACUAUUUUGUGAAAUUGGGGGCAUUUCUCUUCCAAGGGCUCCAACAACAACAUUGAAUGGUGAUACCAAUUGAACCCUUUUCAGUUGUUCAAGAACUCUUCAAUGAUGUUGAAUGGAUGGAAAGCGGUGACAAUGCUGCUUUUUGGUUGCUCAAAGAAUUCUCAGCAAACUCGCCGCGAGAUAAAUUUCAAAUGCUAAUACUCAGCGACAUGAAAGAGCUUUCGAAGUUCUAACCUAAAGUUGGCCUCCAAUGCCACUAUCUCUCCACUGGAUGAACAAUAUUCUGUGGCUUCCGAUUCCGGUUAUUCAGCAGAUUAUGAUAAGGUUCAAAAUGGUGGGAACUCAUCUGACUCGGAGAACAUUGAUCAUCCUCUUACCAUUGAAGAUUCUGAAUCUAUUGCUACUUCCUUAGGGAAUACUUCAUCUCCCUCUCCUCCACAUGGUAGAUCUUGUGGCCUUUCAACCGAACAAAGUUUGCUGCCAGCAGAAUUACAGCAGGAGUUACCAAGUAGCUGCCAGCCGCCAGCACUAUCAGCAGAAUAUGGAGAUAAACAUGUUAUCUCGGCACAGGUGUCACCACCAGCAGCAGCAAAUGGAGGCAAGCCUACUUUCUCAGCGUCGCCCCCGCCCCCGCCACCGUCACCGUCACCGCCACCACCACCACCAAGUAGCAGCAAGCAUGUUUCCUCGGCAGCGGCGGCGCUACCACCGCCGCCGCCACCACCACAAUCACCACCUGGCAGCAAUAUGUUUCCUCGGCAACGGUGCUGCCACCGCCAACUGGCAGCAAACCUUUUUUCUCACCGCCGCCGCCGCCACCACCACCACCACCACCUCAUAUUAGUAACGUAUCUUCUCCACCGCCUCCACCACCGCCAUCCUUGGCAAAUUCUCGGACAGAAGCACCUCUAUCUACAUUGACCCUGCAGCCUCGGAAAAAUGUUCAAUGUCAUCCAGUCCCACCACCUCCUCCCGAAGCUCAAGGAAUAGCUAAGAAAUGCCAUCCGCCGCCUCCACCCCCACCCCGCGCCUCCCUCUUCUGACAAAACAUCUACAACUAUUGGCACUCUGUCGAAAGGGUCGCCUCCUCCACCACCUCUACCUCCACCAGCUGGUGCACCAGGCUUUGUAUUGGUGCUAAACUUGUGCAGCUUUCUCAUUUUCCUCUAUCAACUGAAAGUCUGCAUUGGCACUUGCAACGGCCAUGUUUCUUGUUCCGUCCUAUACUAAAAGAUUAUGCAUGUUAGGAUUUCUUUACAAGGAAAAUGCAAUUAAAUUUAUAGUUUACAAUACACUCCAUUGCAAAUAAAAUUCCAGGUUUAGACGGCAGCUUCAUCAAACUUGAAAUAGAAAAAAUGAAUUAAAUUGAUGUCAACUAUGCAGUUGGUUAGAUCUCAGAUGUAAAUAUUAUAUCUAGAAUGCCCCCGAACCACACAGGCACUACUCUUGAGGUUAUCCGUAGUGGUAUAGUAAAAAAAGACAUCAUGUUCCAAUUGUCUAUGAUAUAACGUUGCCGCUCCCUACUUUUUAUGACAUAAAUACCGUCUUCUGUUUACUCUUUGUGGUUUGGCUUCUAAUACCCCUUGUAUACCUAUCUAAUAAAGAGUGAUCCAAAUUCCCAGAUUCCAUCCUGAUCUCAUCAAGAAACUCAGCACCAGUUGUCUUGUCAUGCAAAAUCACAAAACAAGUAGAACCCUGGGUGCUCUUUUUAUCCUUGGAACACACAUUUGAUGCGUGUUGUUUUGUAUUAGAAGAAAAUUUCUGGAUACUCUUAUCACAUUUUAUCUUCGACCUUCACUCGACAUUAACAUUGACAUGAGGAUAUCUUAGUUCAACCAAAUCAUGAAUGCCCAUUUAAAAUUUAAAACAACAUUUUUUUAUGGAGAUUGCAGAACAACUAUCUCUUUAUGUACUUAUUUUCUCUAACAUGGUAUAUUUUCUUAACUGGUCGAAGUAUGGUAUAUAUCCAAAGAGAUUGUGAGAGAAUGGUGCAUUAUCAAGUUUCUUCAAGAUUCUGACUACAUCCCCUCAUGAAAAUGGUGAGGUAAAAUAUGUCAUCUCUUGUGGUUACAUGACGAGUGAAUCAAAUUUAGUUGGAUGCCCAGGUUUAUUGUAGGACCAAGAUCAAAGCGUAGUCCUGAGCACAAUACAUAUCCUGAACCUGAUAAGAAAAGAAAGGAAUUGAUAUAUCAUCCUUUAGUACUUUGUGCAUGACAAGGAUGCAUCUACAUUCAACACAUGUUUACAGGCAUAUACAUCAAUUUAGCGCAAACUGAAUCAUAUCCAGAAUGUCCGGUGCUACUAUGCACCGUUUAUUUCCAAUGUUGAUUGCUUACAUGAGCUAUAUUAUUGGCAAGCUCAGUAUUAAAAACUUACCCAUGAAACAUCCAGGGGAGGCAUAUUGAAACACAACUACAGGACCAAUCAGUACAAACCAAUCCUCUUGGAAAUGAUAGAUUCUAUACCCCAAGAAAUGUAUCCACCAGGAUGAUAGUCAACCUUGCGGGCUACAUUGGGCGGGGAUUGUCAAUUUAUUCUUGGAGCCGUCAAGAGGGCUACAAUCACGACCAACGGGUCGAAGUUUCGCUAUCACACAAACAUCCAAGAAGGUCGUUCCAUAUCAAGUGCAAGGCAAGGUGACGCCUACUUUAUGAUGAUCUGAGGAACUCUGCCUCUGCUUUUGGACGCAGCCUUGCUUUUGCAUCCUGUUAGACUUUGAUUUCAAUCAGUGCUUAGGUCGUUGUGAUCGAUCAAACGCCUUCUCAUACCGACCCUUUUAUGUUAAUGUGAACAUGUUAGCUUUUAUGAUAUUACUAUGCUUGCUUUGUUGUAUGAAUGAAGACUAUUCUGAAGCA